GACGAACGCUGGCGGCGUGCUUAACACAUGCAAGUCGAACGGAAAGGCCCUGCUUUUGUGGGGUGCUCGAGUGGCGAACGGGUGAGUAACACGUGAGUAACCUGCCCUUGACUUUGGGAUAACUUCAGGAAACUGGGGCUAAUACCGGAUAGGAGCUCCUGCUGCAUGGUGGGGGUUGGAAAGUUUCGGCGGUUGGGGAUGGACUCGCGGCUUAUCAGCUUGUUGGUGGGGUAGUGGCUUACCAAGGCUUUGACGGGUAGCCGGCCUGAGAGGGUGACCGGCCACAUUGGGACUGAGAUACGGCCCAGACUCCUACGGGAGGCAGCAGUGGGGAAUAUUGCACAAUGGGCGGAAGCCUGAUGCAGCAACGCCGCGUGCGGGAUGACGGCCUUCGGGUUGUAAACCGCUUUCGCCUGUGACGAAGCGUGAGUGACGGUAAUGGGUAAAGAAGCACCGGCUAACGACGUG
rnacentral:rRNA from 1 species